rnacentral:lncRNA from 1 species
GGUGAAUGCACCAAUUUGUAAGUCGCUGUGGAUAAGAGCGUCUGCUAAAUGACUUAAAUGUAAAAAAUGUAAAUGUAAUAUACACAUUAUGACAUAAUAAAGAGCUUAAUCUUUCACGAAAUAAAGACAUAGAAGCAUACCCAAUUAUACAGGUUCUACACAUUCCAUUUCUCCAUGGCAAUAGAAUGUAAACAUUCUAUUUUGCACCAAACAUCGCCUACAACUCAAUUCUAAGUGCAGCAUAUUGGACGACAACACAGUCAUUGAUCAUUUGCAACUUUAAGUCAUUCCUGUUAUCUCUAGAGCAUCCCGUAUAUCUAUAGCGCGGCAUUUCUUCCCCAUCUUUCCAUGGAUAGGGUUUGGUGCAUUCCGGAGUUCACUUAUGGUCCCACAAAGGAAUUCUGUAGAAGCAGCCUUUAUUUUCAGACUCUGCAGGCCUGCUGGGAGGAAACAUAUUACAAUAAACAGAAGAAGGUCAUGGUCCAUUAUCUGCUGCUCCAGAGUCAAGGCCAGGUCCCGCCCCAUGUCACCACGGAGCACAUGAGCAACUGGCUGGUGUCUCAGGGCAAAAAAUCCUUUAGGGAGAGGGUGUGGAAGGAAACCCUGGAGGAGGGAAACGACCUCGCUCGGCUGGCCUGGGAAGUAAACACUUGCCUAAAAAUGAUGGACAUAGAGCACGAGGCUUUCUGCAAGCUCCGCCGCUCCAUGCACUCCACCUCGCCAGCUGACAUCGAUCCUAAAGUCCACAGCAUCGUGGAGAGAGCUGUGAGGAGCAUUCUGGGCGUGCAGUCCAAUGAGCCCCGUAGCAACCUGCUCAGCCCAUCUCAGGUGGUCGUGGAGGUGGUGCCCAGGCUCCUCCUGGCCCUGUGGCUUCAGCCAGAGGAAGGCCAUUCAGAGCACCCAAUCCUAAUAAGCGGGAUGGCCGUG